ACUACACUCCCCUCUUCGACAGGCCCAUCAGGAUCAUGCUCUCGAACCGUGACCCCAGCACGCGAAAGAGCGGCAAAGGUAACAUUUUUAUCAAAAGCCUAGACGCCUCUAUCGACAACAAGGCCUUGUUCGAAACCUUUUCGAGUUUCGGAACCAUCCUCUCAUGCAAAGUUGCAACUGACGUGACCGGACAGUCCAAGGGAUACGGGUUCGUCCAGUUCGAGAAGGAGGAAUCUGCUCAAGCAGCAAUUGACAAACUAAACGGAAUGCUAAUGAACGACAAGCAAGUAUACGUGGGACACUUCAUCAGACGCCAAGAACGCUCUCGGGAAGAAAACGCCCCUACGCCGCGUUUCACUAACGUGUACGUCAAGAAUCUCCCCAAGGAGAUUGGUGAGGACGAGCUAAGGAAGACGUUUGGUAAAUUUGGAUCGAUUUCGAGCGCGGUUGUGAUGAGGGACCAGAGUGGAAACUCGAGGUGUUUCGGGUUUGUGAACUUUGAGUAUGCCGAAGCAGCGGCGCAAGCCGUUGAGAAGAUGAAUGGGAUUAGCUUAGGGGAUGAUGUGUUGUUCGUUGGGAGGGCGCAGAAGAAGUCUGAGAGAGAGCAAGAGCUGAGAAGGAAGUUUGAGGAAGAGAGGAUGAACCGGUUUGAGAAAUCUCAAGGAGCAAAUCUGUAUUUGAAGAAUCUUGAUGAUAGCGUUGAUGAUGAGAAACUCAAGGAGAUGUUCUCUGAGUUUGGAAAUGUAACCUCUUCCAAGGUAAUAGCAAAAAAAAUGCAUGCAAAUAUCUUUUUUUUAUUGAUGUUACGUUUGUGUUUGAACACAACUCCUCUAAUAAUAUGUGAAAGGUUAUGGUUAAUCCACAAGGAAUAAGCAGAGGGUUUGGUUUUGUUGCUUAUUCCAAUCCUGAAGAAGCUUCAAGAGCCGUGAGUUGCCUAAAGCUUUUUUACUCUUCUCUUUUGACAUCUGAGAUAUGAAGUAAUAUUCUUGUCUUCUUAUCUGCUUUUUAUUUUAGUUUCUAGUCUAUAUGUUUGUGUCUGUGUGUGUGCUUUAGAUUUGGGACACUGCUGGGCAAGAGAGGUUCCAGAGUCUUGGUGUUGCUUUCUAUAGAGGUGCAGAUUGUUGUGUGCUUGUUUAUGAUGUUAACUACCUCAAGUCAUUUGAUUCUCUGGACAAUUGGCACGAGGAGUUUCUUAAGCAGGUUCUUUUGCCCUUUCUACCUUUUUCUCCAAUUUUUUUUUUCUGGAAGAUUUUUCUUCUGUGAGUGAAUCUUGAAUGUUUUCUUAGGCUAGCCCACGGGAUCCAACGGCCUUCCCGUUCAUAUUGCUUGGUAACAAGGUUGAUAUUGAUGGAGGAAACAGUCGAGUGGUAAGUCAGCCUUGGCUUCUUAAUAUAGACAAAACUGAAAAGAUGAGGAAGUAAUAUUGUUAUUCUUAUGAAUGAUAUAAUAUGAUUACUAUAACAACUGAAAAUGUUUUGUAAUAACGAGUGUUAUGUUCCUUGCAUAUAUUAACUUCAGGUAUCAGAGAAGAAAGCUAGAGAAUGGUGUGCUCAAAAGGGAAACAUAUGCUAUUACGAGACAUCGGCUAAAGAAGAUUACAAUGUAGAUGAAUCGUUCUUGUGCAUCACAAAACUUGCCCUUGCCAAUGAGCGCGACCAAGAUAUGUAAGCAAGCCUCUUAUUAUCCUAAGGCUUAAAAAAAAGGAUUCUAAAAGGGGUCGUGCUCGUGGAUGAUGAAACUGUUCCAUUAAAACAUUUUUCUUUGAUUUGGCAGAUAUUUUCAGGGGAUUCCAGAGUCUGGUUCAGAGCCUGAGCAAAGAGGAGGAUGUGCUUGCUGAAGAGAAACAUCUGUUUUAGCUAUGUUUGAUUUGUGCCAUUAGUUUUCUUUGUUUGCAUUGCACCAGUUGUUGAAGUAGUAGGAAAAACUCUGUAAAGUCUGACUAAUUCUCUUACCUUAUCUUGUCCGGUUAAACCAAUAUUAAUCAAUUCCGGUUCGGUCUGCUACAUAUUUCUGUGGGGCUAUCUUUGCAACAUUCGAUUUGCAGCUUGGGAUGGUGAUCAAUAAGUUAUAUAAUUAAGCUAGCAUCAUAUUUCUUGUCAUGAGAUCAUAGUAAUGCUCUACCUUUCCUUUACCAGAUUUUGUUAUGCAUUUGGCUCUUACAUGAGAGUCGUUUACUCUUUUAUAUUUCAGGUAUGGAUCGUCUUUAAAGUAUCUAGCUGGAUAUUGGAAUAAUAUUGGUUGCUCUGUCACCAUCUCUCGGCAAGUACAAUAUAUCUCAAAGUUUAAAGUCUUGACGGAUCCAUUCACCACCCAUCAAUCUAUGGAGAAUUUUUUUUAACAUUCAUCUUUGUUCUCUCUUUCUCAGCUUUGGCAGUUGGCACGAGCCUAGUCAUUGUCGUGCAGCUAUUCCGUCUCUCUUCCCUAAAACCUAAUAAAACGUUAGUCUAAGACGAUAGACUAAUAUAGAUACUAAAAUGUAGCUUAUCAAAUAUCAACAUACUUCUUAUAAUUUUUGUUAAAUUUUUAAAAAUCUUUUGGGUAGAGGAGGAAGCAAAGAACAAAACAAGGCUAAUUUUUUUUUCUUUUUUACCAAGGCUAAGUUAGUGAACACUCUCAUGGGUCGUGGCAGGGCUGGAGAUACGUAUGAGCACAUUCAUCCUCGGUUUUGCGUAUGUGAAGCUUUGUGAUUUCAUUUUUACACACAAAAAACAUUUAUUUAUCCAUUACAAGUUUGUAAGUUGCAUGUAAUAUUGGAUAUCUGUAUAUAAUUUCUUUUUAUAUGACAAACUAUAUUACCGUUAACCUGUUAAAUGAAAAAACUGCCCUUUUGGGCAUGAUGAUGAUGACUCAUGUUGAUUGAUGUAGUAAUCGAAAUGUUGGGAUCAUGACUUGGAAAACCAGAUAUGGAUUGAGCUCUUUUCUCAGGAUCUUUUGGGCUUUGGGCUAGCCUUUCAAUUUUGUUAAAAGCAAAAGGUUGGUGUUUUAAGGUAAUGAAAACAUUAAAAUGAGAAGUAUGAGAUAACAAUUAGGAAUGAACUGCUCAUGCUUUAAUAGUUAGUGAUUACUAGAAACACAAUAGAAACUAAACCUAAUUCAAUAAAAAGGACCGGUAUGGAGAAGACCAAGGCGUUAUGGCUUACAGUAAAAGUCUGACUGGUAUAACCACAACAGCUGCGGGAGCUUGCGAUGCAGGUAGUUGCGGUUUUAAGAGAUUUGUACGACUAGUACUGCGGUUAGAAAUUGGUGCGUUUGCGAGAUACUUAUGACUGAUUAGCCACCAAAUACAACAGUGGUUAAAUAAUAAAUUAACAAUAUUUACAUUUUAUAUAAUUAUAAAAAUAUUAAACAUCAUAAUAUUAUAUAAAUAUAAAAUUAUAUUUUUAAAAUUAUAUUUUUAAAUUUUUAAAUUUUUAAAAAUUAUAAAAAUAUUUUAUUUUAAAAAUUUAUAAUAAAAAUUAAAAUAUAAUAGAUAUAUCUUUAGUAUUUCUAUUAUUUUAAUUUAAAAUUUUUAUUUUUAUUUUUGUAUUUUUAUUGUUUUUAAAAAACAAAAAAAAAAACAAAUUUUACCCUCCCGCAACCGUAAACGCUAGCUGGAACCAACUUUUGAAUUUAAGAGGUUUAAAAUAGUUUGAAUAAGCGAUUUAGAGCGGUUUGAGUGAUUGUUACAAAACGCCAAUAAUAACUACUAACCGUAAAAGCUGCGUUUGCGGAUGGUAGCGGAAAAACCAGUCAUGCCCUAAAUAAUUCCUAACAUUUUAAAUCAAGAAAACCUGUUACCAAUUAUUGUUUGGUUGUUUGAUUUAAAAUCAACUCACAAAUUUGAUUCAAAUGAUACAGUGUCACUUUAGCAUAUAUUUCAAUUCUAACAACCAUAAUAAAUGCAAAUGGAUUAAUUUUCUUAAAUUAAUCAAAUUUUAAUUAAAUCACAAAUAAUAUUUCUGCAAGAUUUUAAGAUUUUUUUUGGUUUUUUGUUCAUUCUAUAUUAUUUACGUAUUCAUCACCAUAUUGUCAUAAUUUUUUUUUACUGAUAUAAAAACUACACAAUUGAAAAGAGAUGAAAAGACUUUCCUAGCAAUAUACAUGGAUCAUAAACUCGUUAAACCCAACUUUGAGGAACUAAAUAUAGUUUUAUAUGUUGUUAUUUGGUCAAAGAACAAAAAUGGACAAACAUAUCUAUUUAUGGUACUGUUUACAAUUAUCUUUAGUCAUGACUAGAGACCAAAUCAAUAGUUGUUAGCUAUACUCCUAAAAAUAGCUAUACUCCUAAACAUAGAUGGGUGCUUGUAUUUUAAUCCAAUCGAAAUUUGUCAAAAUUUAUCGUAAAUCAAAUUAAUGUGUGAUAUUUGAAAAAAAACGAUGAACCUAUAAGAGAAAAGUGACAUCUUAAAUCUCAAAAACAUUAAAAGAAUCAUAUUGAACACGUCUAGUUACAGUAAUCCAUGAUCUGGUCAAAAUGAUCUAAAAUUAGUUUAGUGUUCUAUUUGUGGUAAUGUAGAUAAAUAUCUUAGCCAUGACCAAAUCAAUAGUUCCCAGAUUCGCAAACUCUACUCCUUAAGAUAGAUGGGUGUUUGUUCUGUACCAUUAUUAUACAAGCUAGUCAAAUGUUAUCAAUACAUUUGUUAGUAAUUAGUAUGUAUUAAAUAAUUAAAAUAAAAUAAAAAUGAUUAUCUUGAAUGCAUUAAAUUUUAUUUGAUAUGUAAUCAUGAUUAAGUUUUAACCAACAAAUUAAGAUUUUUUGUAAAACUUUAAAAUAUUAAAUUAUGUGACUUCCUUAUAACCAUUCUAUAUAUAAUAAUUUUUUUUUGAGAAAAUAUAUAUAGUUAUUUAACUUCUAAAACCAGUAUAAUAUCAUAUUAAUAUUGUUUAUUAUUCAUAAAUAUUUUGAUAUUAUAUAUGUUAAUAUAUUUUUAAAUAAUACAUUCUAAGAGGUACGUUUUCAUUAAAAAAAUGUUAUCAAUAUCUUAGACCAUUUGUAUUAUUUCUAUAAUCUAAAAUUAUAACAUAUACGAUUAUUAUGGUCUAAGGGUUUAUAAAAAAGUUUGGUUCGUUACACCUUUCAGUUUUUUUUUGUGUGUUAUAGAACUAUAUGAAUCAUCUAGUUCCAGACUCAUUGAGACAUGUUAUUUCAUCCUGAUUUUUUUAUGGUGUAUAAAAAAGCAACUACUACUGUGAAAGAGACAUCAUCAUCCUGAAAUAUGAGCCUAUAAAACACACACAAACAAGUAAAAAUACAAGAGAAGAAAGAAAAUUGUAAGUCUUUUCAUAUUAAAAAUAAAUAAUUAAGUCAUUUUCUCAUCUAUAAAUACCUUAGACACACUCUUCAGAUCGAAUCGAUUUUCCCCUCACCAAUCCUCUCGAUCAUUGGAGGAAACUAAAAGGGAAAAAAAAAUCGACAUAAGAAUAAAAACAAUUUCCCUUAAAAAUAAGGAAAUGAUAAACUUUGAAGAAAAUAUACAAAACACCAUCUCUCUCACUUAAAGCCCCUAGAGAAUCUAAUCCUCCCAUUAUUCUUUUAAGGAUCGGUGAUUCUCUAAAAAGGUAAACGCACGAGCAUGGCGGCCGCGGUUGCGACGGGGGUUGCACCGUCGACAAUGAUUGAUCAAGUUCCGAGUCCGACGGCGGCUCAGACUUCGGUUCAGGUUUCGGUUUCGGUACCGGUUCAAUCUCCAGUGGUUGCGGCUGAUCAAACGCAUCCGAAUUCAUCGCUCUACGUGGGAGAUCUAGACCCGAGAGUGGCCGAAGCACAUCUGUUCGAUCUGUUCAAACAUAUCGCUAGUGUUGUCUCGGUCCGAGUCUGUCGCGAUCAAAACCGUCGAUCUUUGGGAUAUGCCUACAUCAAUUUCAGUAACCCUAAUGAUGGUAAAAUACACGUUACUCUAUCGCUUCAUGCUCGAGUUAGGGUUUCAUGUAAUCAAACACUCUCAUGAAUUGCAUUACAAUAAAGAGAAUUAUACUAUUCACACUAGUAUUACGAUCAUCGUUUUUUUUCACCUUUUAAUAAUUAUAUUUGCGAAAACUUCAUAUACAUAUUCUUUUUUUUGUUCUUUAAAAAAACUUCAUAUUCUACUAUUCAUGCAAAUCACUAUGUUCCAAUGUAGCGUUUUGUUAGACCUGCUAUUUAAUUAUAGUCAGUAUAUUGUAACACUGAUGCAUCAUUGACAUGUAUCGUUUGAAUACAGGAGUCAGGAGCAUUCGUAGAUGUCGCUCAUGCAACUUUUCUAUAAAGAUUCUUUCAAUAGAAAAAAACUUUUCUAUAAUGAUAUGCUUGACAAAAACGUGAUUAAUUAGUGUGUUUGGGCCUUUAUAUAUGUCAUCGCAGAUGCAAGCUAGUCUUUUACUUUUACAAUAACGAUCUUAUAUAUUUCUAAGCUAUUUAUAUAUGAUUGGUUAACUAAUAAACGUGAGUUAUUUUCCUAGCUAUCCGCGCAAUGGAGGCCUUGAACUACACUCCCCUCUUCGACAGGCCCAUCAGGAUCAUGCUCUCGAACCGUGACCCCAGCACGCGAAAGAGCGGCAAAGGUAACAUUUUUAUCAAAAGCCUAGACGCCUCUAUCGACAACAAGGCCUUGUUCGAAACCUUUUCGAGUUUCGGAACCAUCCUCUCAUGCAAAGUUGCAACUGACGUGACCGGACAGUCCAAGGGAUACGGGUUCGUCCAGUUCGAGAAGGAGGAAUCUGCUCAAGCAGCAAUUGACAAACUAAACGGAAUGCUAAUGAACGACAAGC
rnacentral:lncRNA from 1 species